GCUAGGCAAGGGGCACAAUUGCAAUAUCAAACUAGAGAAGGGGCGAAAAUUUCUCCCAUCCGUAUAUAAUUUACGAAUCCUAUAGUCUCUAUUUUCUCGAAAGUUGAAAAUUGGAAGUUGAAAGUUGAAAGCCGCUGCUUUCUCUUCUUUGUCGUUCCGCGAUUCCAAAAGCCACGACCCUGAUUCUCUAGAUUGAUUGGAGUGCACCUGUAAUUGCCUUGGGGAGUGAUUAUUUUCCAUAAAGAUUCAAUUUUUAAUUCUGUAAG